UGUGUUUCCGCAUUGAAGGUGGAGACCUGAAGUGGGACAGGCUUGCUGUGUAACGUUAGGGGAAGUUGCUCAAUAUCGGAAAGACACAUUUUACUAAACUGUGAGCAAAAAAUCAGUUUGCUAAUGUUCUGUUUCUAUGGGUGCAAUGGCGGACGAUUAAUACCCGUAACGGCGCUAUAAUUUGUAAGCCUACA